rnacentral:rRNA from 1 species
GACGAACGCUGGCGGCGUGCUUAACACAUGCAAGUCGAACGGUGAACCUCUUCGGAGGGGAUCAGUGGCGAACGGGUGAGUAACACGUGGGCAACCUGCCCCCGGCUCUGGGAUAACUCCAAGAAAUUGGGGCUAAUACCGGAUGUUCACCGCUUCCCGCAUGGGUGGUGGUGGAAAGGGUUUCCGGCUGGGGAUGGGCCCGCGGCCUAUCAGCUUGUUGGUGGGGUAGUGGCCUACCAAGGCGACGACGGGUAGCCGGCCUGAGAGGGUGACCGGCCACACUGGGACUGAGACACGGCCCAGACUCCUACGGGAGGCAGCAGUGGGGAAUAUUGCGCAAUGGGCGGAAGCCUGACGCAGCGACGCCGCGUGGGGGAUGACGGCCUUCGGGUUGCAAACCUCUUUCAGCAGGGACGAAGCGCAAGUGACGGUACCUGCAGAAGAAGCACCGGCCAACUACGUG